GAUGAAGAACGCAGUGAAAUGCGAAAAGUAAUGUGAAUUGCAGAAUUCAGUGAACCAUCGAAUCUUUGAACGCACAUUGCGCCCGCUGGAACUCCGGCGGGCACGCCUGUCCGAGCGUCAUUUCAACCCUCAGGCCCCCCUUCGCGGGCGGGCCUGGUGUUGGGGCCCGGCCGCUACCCUGCGGCCGUCCCCUAAAUUCAGUGGCGGCCUCGCCGUGAUCCCUUGCGUAGUAAUGCACCUCGCACCGGAGAGCGCCGUGGCCACGCCGUAAAACCCCCAAUUUUCAAUGGUUGACCUCGGAUCAGGUGGGAAUACCCGCUGAACUUAAGCAUAUCAAUAAGCGGAGGA
rnacentral:misc_RNA from 1 species